rnacentral:lncRNA from 1 species
UGGUGCUAGAUUAUCGAUCAUAAUCGUAGAGUUAGUGGACUGUUUAUUCUCACUAAUGAUCGUGACACGUAAUCGAUAACCAUUCAUAAUGAUUAGGGUAUGUUGAGCAGAUAAGCCGACUAUAUGUUCGUAAUACUGAUACGUCGGUAGAGGUAAGUCAGUAGAAGAUUCGAAUGACCAUCAACUAGUAACUUUGAUAUGCCAAUGAUCUUCAGUCAGAGGUU